UUGCCCCUAGUAUAGCCCGCGGGACGGUGUGUAGGUACUAGUGUUAGGUGUCUGUUGAAACUAUUUGACCCCGUGGGGUUACCUUUUGGGGUCACUAGGGCCGACAGACCCUAGUGUACACUCGUUACCUAGUACACCGUCAACGCGCUAAAAUCUAGGGGGCAAAAAUACGUAAUCUUUUACAGCUAUAUAUUCCCUCUUUGGGGUAUAUACUGAAAAAGAUUUAUUACUGCAUAUUAAUCAUUACUAAAAUAUAAAUUAUAAAAAUUGAAAUUACUUUGUAUAUUGUAACAUGUUUUUCAUUUAACUAGUGUUGUGUGGCGAUGUCGAAUGUACUGAAGAAGAGGGCUAUUGGUUAGGCUGCAACUGUUGGACCUGAACGUACUUCAACUUCGAAUGAAGUCUGGACGCACCUAGCUGAAGGUAAUACCGGCCAUAUCUGGCAGAUGGAGUACCAGCAUGACGGCAGACAAUAUUCAUCUUCUACCUACUACGAAUCUUGCCACGUUCGUCCUUACUACAGACUAAAGACGAGUCGUGAGGAUGAGAUCAUGGUUAAUUGAAGUGAAUGAGGCUGCACCAUCGCCCAGCAGUGGAGUUGACCAUAGUACGGAAUGAAAAAUGUUGAACACGUUAUUCCUGGACCUGAAGUAUCGGCAAGGAUGAGAGGACCACACCGGCAAUAACUGAAAUAUCCCAAAUGAGUUUAGACUGGCAAAUGGUUGGGGACAUAAUGUAGAGUGAAGAAACUGUUCCAUGUGUCCCGUUAUCGUUUCAUGAAUAAAGUUAAUUGUAUACAGGAGUGAAGUCAGAAGAAACUGGAAAUAACAUGCUGUGAGGUAAAAGGAGUUAACUGUUGUAUUGUAAAUGCAUUUACUGUAAAAUUACUACUGGAUGAGCAAAAUCAUUUGAAAUAAAUGAACAAGAAUCAA